AUAGAGAUAAGAGGCUCUGCAGGUGUGGCUGCUGUGUCACAUGUGCAUCAAUAGGUGGCAGAGAGGAGAUCGGCUAUGUCUAAGCUCAGCAUUCUGACCUAUGAACAUCUGAAUGAUUAGUAGCCUAACAUC